CACGUAGGGGGCGAGCGUUGUCCGGAUUUAUUGGGCGUAAAGAGCUCGUAGGCGGUUUGUUGCGUCGGCUGUGAAAUCCCGAGGCUCAACCUCGGGUCUGCAGUCGAUACGAGCAAACUAGAGUGUUGCAGGGGUGACUGGAAUUCCUGGUGUAGCGGUGAAAUGCGUAGAGAUCAGGAGGAACACCCGUGGCGAAGGCGGCACUCUGGGCCGGCUCUGACGCUGAGACGCGAAAGCGUGGGGAGCGAACGGG
rnacentral:rRNA from 1 species